AGGUGCUUGGAGGGGGAAAGAAUCAGGGGAGAAAUUAAAUGGCUGCCGCGUGGGGAUCACGAGGAAGAACUUUGGCCAUGUUAUGAUGGCCCUUGCAGUGGAUGUUGCUCGUUUUGUGGGAGUGCCAAUGGCUCCACCAGACCCAAUUCUUUCAGAAGCCUUUUAAAGCAGAUAAAAAUGACCUGAAGCUCAAUCUUGGUGUUGGUACCUAUAGAACGGAAGAGUUGUAGCCCUAUGUCCUCAAUGUAGUCAAGAAGGCUGAAAAUCUUAUGUUGGAGAAAGGAGAAAACAAAGAGUAUCUUCCUAUUGAAGGCUUAACAGCAUUUACCAAAGCAACUGCAGAGCUACUCCUUGGAGCUGACAGCCCCGUCAUCAAGCAAGGACUGUUUCAGUAGCAAGUCAUCAACAAUAUGGAGUAGAGGAAGAGGACAUGGAUCUGGAGUUCUAGACAGUUUAUAAAUCAAAUGUCACAAGAACAAAUCUACAACUAUAGUGUUAAAGCAGCAGUGUACAUCCUUUUAGACAGUGAAAAAGUAUGGAGAUGCCCACGCCAAGAGAAACAUGCACUGCAUGAAGACCUCUUCCUUAUCCAUUGCUAAAAGCUUACCUCAAAUACCACUAGAGGCCUCAAAAGAAAUGCUACAACGGGCGCUGGAUUUGCUGCAACAGAUGAGUACUCAAUCUGUGUGUUGUUAUAUACAUUUAGCUGAAAUGUGGCUAAACCAAAAGGUGGUUACAUUACCUUUUUACGAUAGACUGAUAUUGUCUAUCUAUAAUACACUGAUGAUUGUAAAUUAGAGAUGGUAUACUUUCCAUAAGUCACUGCAUAUUUUGAAGACAAUAAUUAAUAAUAGCUUUCAUUUAGCCCAAUUUUCAACCAGUCUAUGCAAUGAUCUACAGGUGGAUCAGUCAACUUUAGGACAUAUGUAUCCCACUGUGCUCCGCAAUGGUCCAUAGUUGUACUUAUUAGCAAGAGUGAUUCCCUGCUGACUAACCGUCUAAUAUAAACUGAUGUUUUGAGAUAUCUCCAAAGAUUACAAAUCUUUAAAAACUCAUUGGUAUUUCUCUAUUGUAUAAAAAUUAUGAUAUAGAUUUUAUAUUAUUGCAGCUGAAGGAAUUGCACUAUGAAAUUGAUGAUUAAAAAGCACGGGCAAUCAAGUAUUGACUAGAUAUGCUAAUUACUUCACUUCUUGAUAGGAUCAAGUUGUUAUUUUAUUUGUUCGGGCAAACCAGCACACACAUGCUGUAUCUGAAAAAAAUUUGAAAAACAGCACAGAAGGGAGAAGGUACAGUACCCCAGCACACACACUGUAUCUGAAAAAACAUUUGUUUAAGAUUUUUUAAUGUUGUACAACUUUUUCUCAUAACAUUAUCUAGUAAUUCAUUUUUCCCCAGCAUUUGCCUGACACACUUUUUUCUAUUUUUUUUCUCUCGCAGCCAUUGGUAGAAAGGCAAAAACAAGGUCAAGCAGAAUUCAAGGAAAACAAAUCCUUUUUUAUUUGGAUUUGCAGGAAAGCCAAACGUGAAAAGGGAAAGGGAAUUAAUAUGGCAUCCACACAUAUGCCAAAAAUGGAAAGGUGGGCAUGUCGGAGAUCUACCGGACGUUGGGAAUCUAGCGGGCGCCCACAAAUUAGAAUUGGCCAAGCAAGAGCACUCCUCGAACUAGCCAUGCCUAUCUAUAUAUAUAUAUAUAAGGUCUCCGACAAAUGACUAAACUGCUUGUAAACUACUGUGAGCAUUGGACGGACACACUGCAUUCACGUCUUUGCUUCACUUCGACGCAAAGCUUUUCGAUGGCACCACA